AUUGAACGCUGGCGGCAUGCCUUACACAUGCAAGUCGAACGGCAGCGCGGGAGCAAUCCUGGCGGCGAGUGGCGAACGGGUGAGUAACAUAUCGGAACGUGCCCUGGAGUGGGGGAUAACUAGUCGAAAGAUUAGCUAAUACCGCAUACGAUCUACGGAUGAAAGUGGGGGAUCGCAAGACCUCAUGCUCGUGGAGCGGCCGAUAUCUGAUAGCUAGUUGGUAGGGUAAAAGCCUACCAAGGCGACGAUCAGUAGCUGGUCUGAGAGGACGACCAGCCACACUGGGACUGAGACACGGCCCAGACUCCUACGGGAGGCAGCAGUGGGGAAUUUUGGACAAUGGGGGCAACCCUGAUCCAGCAAUGCCGCGUGAGUGAAGAAGGCC
rnacentral:rRNA from 1 species